AGCAGUAGCCGCGGUAAUACGUAGGGUGCGAGCGUUAAUCGGAAUUACUGGGCGUAAAGCGUGCGCAGGCGGUUCGUUAAGACAGAUGUGAAAUCCCCGGGCUUAACCUGGGAACUGCAUUUGUGACUGGCGAGCUAGAGUAUGGCAGAGGGGGGUAGAAUUCCACGUGUAGCAGUGAAAUGCGUAGAGAUGUGGAGGAAUACCGAUGGCGAAGGCAGCCCCCUGGGCCAAUACUGACGCUCAUGCACGAAAGCGUGGGGAGCAAACAGGAUUAGAUACCCCAGUAGUCCCUGUCUCUUAUAC
rnacentral:rRNA from 1 species